GGAGUGCAGAAAUGUAUGUUAUACAAUACUUCUAUCGAUAAGUGCCGUAUCCUUUACAUGAAUUGUGAGGAAAGCUACUUAGAAAGCUCUUAUAUGUAUCGUGCUUGAUUAGCUUUGUUUUUAGGAAGUCAAAAUUAAUGGAAUAAGUUCGUUUAAAUACUAAAGAAUAUUUAUGAAAGUCCUCAGUAAUUAAAACAAUGACAGAUUUUCGCUUCGGAAAGAAAACAGAAACGUCUGUUAUGGCGUUUUUCGUGUCUUGUUCUGUAUGCAAUGUGCCAUCCAUUAUUUGAAGCAGUAGGGUCAUUGUCUGUCGAAGAAGAGCGUUGCGUAACAUGUCAAUGCUCGAAUUCUCUGUUCCUUUUGGUUUUAGUUAAAUAAUAUCUUAUUAGCCUUCUUAUAUCUGUUGCAUUCACAAUAACAUUUCAAAACUUAACAUACACCAUCACGAGUUGACCGUUAUUAUUUCACAUAUUGAUUUUGUGUGUUUAUUUUAAUUGGCUUAUGUUCGACCAAUUCCCUAUUUCCAUUCUCUUUUUCCAAUCGUACUACAAUCCCGACCUAUUUUUGCCCGAAGUUGACCCAACGAAUUCAACUAAUAUAUACUGGGUUUGUACUUACAUAAGCAACACGACGGAUGCCACUCAUGAAGCAGGAGCUUUGCGUUUUGUAUACUACUGUUGGUCUUUUGGUCGUUUUCUUUAUUUGCAAUGGCGUUGUCAGUUUAUUUCCAUCCUCUCUAAUAUAAUUUCAAUCAGAGAAAAAUAACAGUUCUACGCAAUGUAUAAAUUAGUGUUAUGAUAACUUUCGAAGACCGUUCUGUAGUUGUUGAACGACCUUGAACUCUGAUAACUUUGCAGAUAUUUUUCUCACUGAAAUGAUCAUAUUGUUUGACAAUACAAUGAAUUAUGAUUACAAUUUCCUUAACUUUAAUACCUACAGCUAGUAUUCUGUGUUGUUCUUACAAUAGGUAUUACACUGGGCAUCACUUCAUAAUGUAAGUCAACAUACAAUUAAUAAAUCUCAUAGUUAAAGUGUGGGAAAUAAAUAUAUUCUCAUAAAAGUUUGGCAUUCGCAUUAAUUUUAUAAUGUCAAGUCAUUUAAACAGUCAUCGUUCUGUGUUUUUUGCUUGGAAUUUUAAUAACAUUUAUUUCGGAAUUAUUUAGGAGAAAAUUGCUUAUACAUUCGAAAAUGUAAAACCCUAAACUAACAAGAUCGUCAGAUAUCUCAACAGAACUAUGUAGAAAAAGAUAAAAAAUAGCAGUUAGAUAUCAGACAAACAGACUAUUUGAAAUUAACCUUUCCUUUUAGUUUUGCCUACUUAAUAUACUAAAAUUAAAAAAAAAUAUUAUUUUCAAAAUGUGUGUUACUCUGCCUUUUGAUGCAUUAUGCAUACUAAUGAACGUAUUUAUUUCUUAAAGUACAGAAAGAGAGACUGCAGAUCAACAUCAGCAACAGUGGACUCGUUAUAUUAACACGACUAAUUUGAGAAUGGAAGACUUAAGAAGGGCAUGCUAUCUUGUUGCUUUUAUCCGUGGCAUAAACAGCUGAAUACAAUGUCUUAUUUAGAAAAUGCGGUUUGAUAUAGAAUUCAGAUUUGUUUUUAAAGGGACACUUGCUGUAAAAUUCACCAAUUUGACUCAAAUUCUCAUAUUAGAU
rnacentral:lncRNA from 1 species